AGAGCGAACGCUGGCGGCAGGCCUAACACAUGCAAGUCGAGCGCUCCGCAAGGGGAGCGGCAGACGGGAGAGUAACACGUGGGAACGUACCCUUCAGUUCGGAACAACCCAGGGAAACUUGGGCUAAUACCGGAUACGUCCGUAAGGAGAAAGAUUUAUCGCUGAAGGAUCGGCCCGCGUCUGAUUAGCUAGUUGGUGAGGUAACGGCUCACCAAGGCGACGAUCAGUAGCUGGUCUGAGAGGAUGAUCAGCCUCACUGGGACUGAGACACGGCCCAGACUCCUACGGGAGGCAGCAGUGGGGAAUAUUGGACAAUGGGCGCAAGCCUGAUCCAGCCAUGCCGCGUGGGUGAUGAAGGCCCUAGGGUUGUAAAGCCCUUUCGGCGGGGAAGAUAAUGACGGUACCCGCAGAAGAAGCCCCGGCUAACUUCGUGCCAGCAGCCGC
rnacentral:rRNA from 1 species